GUGGAAAAACUCCCUUGACGGUACUUAAUGAAUAAGCCCCGGCUAAUUAUGUGCCAGCAGCCGCGGUAAUACAUAAGGGGCGAGCGUUAUCCGGAAUUAUUGGGCGUAAAGGGUGCGUAGGCGGUUUAAUAAGUCUAUAGUUUAAUUUCAGUGCUUAACGCUGUUGUGCUAUAGAAACUGUUUUACUAGAGUGAGUUAGAGGCAAGCGGAAUUCCAUGUGUAGCGGUAAAAUGCGUAAAUAUAUGGAGGAACACCAGAGGCGUAGGCGGCUUGCUGGGACUUUACUGACGCUGAGGCACGAAAGCGUGGGGAGCAAACAGGAUUAGAUACCCUGGUAGUCCACNCCGUAAACGAUGAGUACUAAGUGUCGGGUAAAACCGGUACUGAAGUUAACACAUUAAGUACUCCGCCUGAGUAGUACGUACGCAAGUAUGAAACUUAAAGGAAUUGACGGGACUCCGCACAAGCGGUGGAUCAUGUUGUUUAAUUCGAAGAUACACGAAAAACCUUACCAGGUCUUGACAUUUUCUUGCGAAGUUAUAGAAAUAUAAUGGAGGUUAUCAGGAAAACAGGUGGUGCAUGGUUGUCGUCAGCUCGUGUCGUGAGAUGUUAGGUUAAGUCCUAAAACGAGCGCAACCCUUGUCGUUAAUUGCCAGCAUGUAAUGAUGGGGACUUUAACGAGACUGCCAAUGAAAAAUUGGAGGAAGGUGGGGAUUACGUCAAAUCAUCAUGCCCCUUAUGAUCUGGGCUACAAACGUGAUACAAUGGUUGAUACAAAGA
rnacentral:rRNA from 1 species